rnacentral:rRNA from 1 species
GUGCCAGCCGCCGCGGUAAUACGGAGGGUGCAAGCGUUGUCCGGAUUUAUUGGGUUUAAAGGGUGCGUAGGCGGCCCGUUAAGUCAGCGGUGAAAUCCCACGGCUCAACCGUGGAACUGCCGUUGAUACUGGCGGGCUUGAGUUUGGUCGAGGCGGGCGGAACUGGCGGUGUAGCGGUGAAAUGCUUAGAUACCGCCAAGAACCCCGAUUGCGUAGGCAGCUCGCUGGGCCAAAACUGACGCUGAGGCACGAAAGCGGGGGGAGCGAACAGGAUUAGAAACCCGUGUAGUCC